ACCAGAUAUUGCCAAAUUGCUCUCAAUUAAAAACCACUGGGGUAGAGGACCCGAGUGAGAUAGUGCUGUGCCUUGAGUUAAUACCAGCCUGCAGGUCGUUACCCCAAGACUGGAAGGAACAGAGGGAGGGGAGUGGCUCCCAGAACUGGGUGACAGAGAAGUUUUGUGGAAAAGACUGCCUUAUAGGAGCUGGAUCCCUCAGUGGAGGGUCAGGGUCAGUCCUGCUCUCCUCCCUAACCCUGAUCUUCCACCCGAGGGCAAGCCUAUUGAUGACAUCCAAAGAAGUUGCCUUCCAGGUAAGGAGCAAGGUGGGGAAGAGGACAAAGUGGGGCUAGAGAGGAAAACUAAAGAAACCCAGCACAGCCCCAACACUGAUUUGGUGGCAAAAUUCAACUGGAACUAAGCCAAGUCGAUUUCAGUUAUUUACUCCAUUUACUACAGAAAUACAUAGGACUUUGAUUAUAGGAUGCUACCCUAGACCCAGUUGAGGGUGUUAUACAAUAUAUAUACCGUCUUACCUUUCUAAAAUUUGAAAACUUUUGAAUUCCAAAAUAUAGCUGGCUCCACGCAUUCCAGACACAAUUGUAGAAAUACACUUUUCAUAGUUAGGUCUUAAAUCCAUCUGGAGUCCAUCCUUGUGUAAUGUAAGACAGGGAUUCAGUUUUUUUGGUUUCCACAUAACGAACCAGUUUAUCCACACCACCUAUCCCUCCUUCUCUCAUUGGUUCAUUGCAGUUUUCAUCCUAUAUUAAGUUCUCAUAUAUAUCUGUGAAUCUAUCUUUGCAUUCUUCUGCCAGUCCCACACUAUUUUUAUUACUUUGGCUUCCUGAUAUGUCCUAAUAUUUGGUAGAUAAAUCCUUUCUGUUUGCUAUUUAUUUAUUUAUUUAUUUAUUUAUUUGAGAUGGAGUCUCACUCUGUCACCCAGGUUGGAGUGCAGUGGCGUGAUCUUGGCUCACUGCAACCUCCAUCUCCUGGAUUCAAGCAAUUCUCCUGCCUCAGCCUCCCGAGUAGCUGGGACUACAGGCACUUGCCACCAAACCCAGCUAAUUUUUAAUUUUUUUAUUUUUUAGUAGAGAUGGGGUUUCAUCAUGUUGGCCAGGCUAGUCUCAAACUCCUGACCUUAGGUGAUCCACCUGCCUUGGUCUCCCAAAGUGCUGGGAUUACAGACGUGAGCCAUCACACCUGGACUGCAGCUUACUUUCAAAUGGUUCAGAAGAAAGCAAAGCACCCAGUCUUCCAGGGGCAGGAGUGAAGACUGCAUUCCACGAUCCCUCUGCUUCCCUGAGAGGAGCAGGGUCCUGUGCAGAUUCAUUCUUCUUUCUCCAGCCUCCUCAGCCCUAUGUCCUUCACACUUCAGCAGUGGUCUCUGGAGCCUGGGCAAAAUUAACCCUGUAUUGACCAGAACCCUCACCAAUGUUGCAACUCCUAGGUCUCCAUGGUGAAGAAAUUUGGGUUCAGCACACCUACAGCCUGCCUCGGUGGCCAGACAGCCCUAGUCUCCUUCUUGAAGGUUGAUUUUGCUAUUUGUGUAUCAGAAGUGGAUUUGUCAUGAAGAGUAAGAAGCUUAAGCUUCAAAGUCCCUCAUUUGUACACAUCUGGGGAUCCCUGAAAGUAGUUGGGAGUCAUAGAAUGUUCUAGGUGGAGAAAGAAAAGUAAGUUGCAGUCAGUCAGCAUUUCUAAGUAAGCACAUCUGGUAAGUUACAUAAAGAGAACUCAUAAGAAAGGGACCUGAAUUUCCAAGCUCCUAGUAUUUUGUACUUUCUUUUCUCAUUUUAAAUGAAUAUUCAUUUUCACAUCUAAUUUUGAAUUUAUUCAAAAGAUCCCUCAAAACUAACUAUGUAAAUCUUUAUUUUCUGAGAUACAUUUAAUCUACUAUUAUUUUUAUUUUUUGAGACAGGGUCUGACUCCGGUUGCCCAGGCUGGAGUGCAGUGGUAUGAUCUUGGCUCACUGUAGCCUCGACCUCCCAAGCGCAGGUGAUCCUCCCACCUCAGCCUCCCGAGUAGCUGGGAGUAGAGACGCACACCACCAUGCCUGGCUGGUUUAGUUUUUAGUAGAGAUGAGGUUUCACUAUGUUGCCCAGGCUGGUCUCAAACUCCUGGAAUCAAGUAAUCUGCCUCAGACUCCCAGAGUGUUGGGAUUAUAGGUAUGAGCCACUGCACCCAGCCCUACAUACAUUUUAGAAUAAGUUUAUUGAUUCUUCACAACACCGUAGUGGAAUUUGUAUUAGUAUUGCCUUGUAUCUAUUGACUAAUGAGAAGGUGAUUAACAUUUUUGUAACAGCAAGUGAUCACUCUGAGUAUGAACUGUCUCUCCAUUUGUUCAGAUCUUCUAUGUCUUUUAUUAUAGUUUUCUUCAUAGAGAGGGCUGUUGUGUCUUUUGAGUUAAUUUCUAAAUAUUUUAUGAUUUUUAUUAAUAUUAUGAAUUGUAGCUUUUUAAUAUUUUCUAGUUAAUUAUUACUCAAGUAAGGAGAUGCUAUUGAGCUUUCUAUGUUAACCUCACGUCUGGUAUCUUACCUAGGUUCUGUUAUUAGUCCUCAUAGUUUGAUUCUGUUAGUUUAUUCUAGAUGAAUGUUUAUGUAGUCUGCAAAUUAUGACAGGUUUUUUUUUUUUUUUUUGAGACAAAGUCUCACUCUGUUGCCUAGGCUGGAGUACAGUAGCAUGAUCUCGGCUCACUGCAACCUUCACCUCCCGGGUUCAAGCAAUUUUCCUGCCUCAACCUCCCGAGUAGCUGGGACUACAGGUGCACACUGCCACACCAGGCUAAUUUUUUGUAUUUUAGUAGAGAUGAGGUUUCACUGUGUUGCUCAGGCCGGUCUCAAACUCCUGAGCUCAGGCAAUCUGCCUGCCUCAGCCUCCGAAAGUGCUGGGAUUACAGGCAUGAGCCACUGUGCCUGGCCAGGUUUUAUUAUUUUAUUUUAUUUUAUUUUAUUUUUGAGACAGGGUCUUGCCCUGUUGCCCAGGCUGGAGUGCAGUAGCUCAAUCAUGGCUCACUACAGCCUCAACGUCCCAGGCUCAAGCGAUCCUCCCACUUCAGCCUCCUGGGUAGCUGGGGACUAUGGUGCAUGCCACUAUACCUGCUAGUUUUUUUUUUUUUUUUGAGAUGGGAUCUCUCUGUGUUGCCCAGGCUAGUCUCGAAUUCCUGAGCUCAAUCAAUCUACCUGCCUUAGCCUCCCAAAGUGCUAGGAUUACAGGCCUGGCCAAUUAUGGCAGUUUUGACUCUUUUCUACCAAGCUUAAAGCUUCUUAUUUCCUUUUCUUGCCUUAUAGCAUUCUUCAGCUCUCCAGUUCAAGGCUACAUAUCUACAGUAAUACCUUGUUACUAGUCUUAAUAUUAAUAAAAUGCAUCUACAAUUUCUCUGUGAAGUAUAAUAUUUGCUCUGGGGUUUGGCAGUGGGCCUUUACCAAGUUAUGAAGGUGCUCUUCUAUUUUUAGUUUGCUCUGAGUUUCUUUUUUUUUCCCCUUAAUCAUAAAUAGAUAAUGCCCUUUAUCAAUUGCUUUUCCUGGAAAAAUUGAGUUAAUCAUAUGAUUUUUCCCUUUCAGUCCAUCGAAGUGAUGGACGAUAUUGACAGAUUUUCUAAUGGCCAAGGCUUCUUGCUUUUCUAGGUUGAGCCCCACUUGAUCAUAAUGUAUUAUUUUAAUAUGCUGUUGGG
rnacentral:lncRNA from 1 species